UCUGGUCUGUGAUGACAGCGUAACUAAUGGCAGACUGCUGGAUGAAGCUUGCGGAUAUGGGACUGAGGCCAGCA
ensembl:snoRNA small nucleolar RNA SNORD99